GGCGUAGCAAUACGUCCAGUGGCGAACGGGUGAGUAAUGUGUCGCUAACGUGCCCCGGACUCCGGGAUAGCCGCCCGAAAGGGCGGGUAAUACCGGGUAACAUACUUGGGAGGCAUCUCCCGAGUCUCAAAGGUCCGCCGGUCCGGGAGCGGGCGACAUCGUAUCAGCUAGUUGGUGAGGUAACGGCUCACCAAGGCGACGACGCGUAGCCGGACUGAGAGGUCGGCCGGCCACAUCGGGACUGAGACACUGCCCGGACUCCUACGGGGGGCUGCAGUAACGAAUCUUCCCCAAUGCACGAAAGUGUGAGGGAGCGACGCCGCGUGUGGGACGAAGUCCUUCGGGAUGUAAACCACUGUCAGGGGUUACCAAGUUCUGAGGAGCCCCAGAGGAAGUGGCGGCUAACUCUGUGCCAGCAGCCGCGGUAAGACAGAGGCCACGAGCGUUA
rnacentral:rRNA from 1 species